rnacentral:rRNA from 1 species
CCAAUAGCGUAUAUUAAAGUUGUUGCAGUUAAAAAGCUCGUAGUUGAAUUUCGGGGUUCUACCGUUGGUCGGGCAAUUGUCUGUACUGGCGUGUGGAAUUUCUACCUUCUGGGGAACCAUCAUGUUAUUAAUUUAGCGUGGUGGGAAACCAGGACCUUUACCUUGAAAAAAUUAGAGGGUUCAAAGCAGGCUUACGUCUGAAUACAUUAGCAUGGAAUAAUAAAAUAGGACGGUGGUCCUGUUUUGUUGGUUUCUGAAUCACCGUAAUGAUUAAUAGGGAUAGUUGGGGGCAUUAGUAUUCAAUUGUCAGAGGUGAAAUUCUUGGAUUUAUUGAAGACUAACUUCUGCGAAAGCAUUUGCCAAGGAUGUUUUCAUUGAUCAAGAACGAAAGUUAGGGGACCGAAGACGAUCAGAUACCGUCGUAGUCUUAACCAUAAACUAUGCCGACUAGGGAUCGGACGAUGUUAAUUUUUCUUGACUCGUUCGGCGCCUUACG